UGGACAGAAUCUCCCUGGUUGAUGUAAUCCCUUCAUCUUCCAGGUAAACUAAUGGAUGUGGAGUGGCAUCGCACUGAACCCUGAACAAUCCACAUUCAGGUUGCGUAAAAUUGGAUAAAGGAAACUCCAAACGGCCAAGAUUUCCACACUGGAAAGACUUUGGGUAUUUAGGAUAGACAAAGUUUAGAUUAAGCAGGUAAAACACAGAGAAAUGAACAGGAAAACUAGCAGCAGCCCUGAAUAGCUCCCUGGAAAAACCCAUGCCUGACAAGAAGGAGAAGAAAGAAGAAUAGGAUAGAAAUCACCGUCUCCCUCAAUUCCACUAAAUUAUAGAGAGGCUGUUGAAUAGAGCAGUUGACUUGGAAAUGUUUUCGUUAAGACCUGGAAACAGACAAAUAGAAUAGGAAUCAAAAAAUAUUUGGGUUGAGAUAAUCAUUCGCUUUGCAUAAAUUCUAGACUUGACUAAUUUUAUUGGAAGCAGAGAAGGACCUAAAGUGAAGGAUCAGAUUUCUGACAGGUUUAACCAUCUUGUCAUUAAAAUAUAUAUCUAAUUACACUUGUUACGAAUUCAAAAAACUAAAAAAAAAAAAAAAUAUUUUCUUUCAGAUUUUGUGAUUGGAGAGCCAAACAAAUAAUUUAUAUAUAACCCAACAUAAGAAAUAUUGAUAAGUUGGGUAUAAAGAUGAAAUUGUGAUUUUUAUUAUUUCCCUUCUGAAUCUUGCUAGUUACUUGAAGGCACUUUAUAAUCAAAAUAGAGAGUAAAAUAUGUGAAUGGUAAAUGAACUUUAUGCCAUGUAUCAAAAUCAUAAAUGAAAUCAACAUUAUAUCAAAACUAUACAUGAACUUAUAAAUUCGUAUUUUAUCCAUAAUUUUCGUUUGUUAAAAUUAACGCAGCAAUCUACUUAUGUAAGAGACACUUGGCAAGUUAAUUAGUCGAAUGGUACAUGAUAUUUAUCCCCGUAUCAAAAUCAUACAUGAACUUUACCCCAGUAUCAAACUAAACAUGAGCUCAAUUUUGUGUCAAAAUCAUACAUGGGCUCACAUUUGUGUUAAUUUUCUUUCAUUCAUAGAAUGGGUUAAUGGGGGGACAUGGAGCGAAACGGAGCAACAUUGAAAAGAUAUGAUAUGCAAUUGGAUUGAUUCCAAAUGUGAAGGACUAAAUUGGUCGGUGAAAAAAGUUCAAAAACCAAGUUGGAGACUUGAAAGAAGUUCGUGGGGCUUCAUGCAAAUUCUGGAAAAAAGAGUGUUAUUUCUCCCAAAAUUGGGAAGGCCGUCUGCCUCGUUAAAGCAACGUGAGUUUUUUGGCUAAUAUUUUUAUGUUACCCAUACAGCACGAGGGACAAAAAUAGUAAGUUUUCAUAUAAAAGUGCUUACAAUAUUAUUGCGGCAGCUAGUUUGGAAAAUGAAAUUGGCAAGUGAAAAUAUAUUGGAAAUCUAACUUCUCUUAUAAAAAUUAUGAAUUUCAUUUGGUUCUAUUAGCAUGGUAAAAUAGCAUAACGUUAUUAAACUUCGUAAAAUCAAAAUCUCAAAAAGUCAAAUGACACGUGAUUUUUUAAAUUGACGAGAUUUUUUCUUAAUAUUGUUAAAUGUGGUAUUAUUUUCUCUAACUAAAAAACCAAAUAAAAAAUUUAACGAUAGGGUGAGCGCAAAGAAUGAAAAUCACAAGGCAUAAAUAAAAAUCAUCAAAUUAUAAGAAUUAUCAACUGUAACAUGUCUUCAAUUUUUCCAAAUGGUAAACAAUGUAUUCAAAAUCAAACUUUUGACUAUCUAUGAUUUUUCCAAAUGGCAGCAAUUCUUACAAGGCUAGUCUUCUUAAAACUAAGGGGCCCAACAUGAAACUUGAAUGCAUAUCUCAGCCUUUGCUCUACUCGUUUGUAAUUAUGCUCAUAGAGUUGCUUUAUUGCUACUUCUCGUCCAUCCUAGAGUUUGCCUAAUUAGAAAAAAGGCAUACAUCAAUUUCUAAAUUCGUAUUUCAUCCAUAACUUCCGUUUGUUAAAACUAACGGAGCAAUCUACAUUGCAAACAGAGUACUUAUGUGCAAGACACUUGACAAGUUAAUUGUGCAAAUAGUACAGGAAAUUUAUCCCUUGUAUCCAAACCAAACAUGAAUUUUACCCACGUAUUAAACUAUACAUAAACUGAGUUUUGUAUCAAAAUCAUACAGGGACUCACAAAUUUGUAUGUCGUCCAUACAUGAAUUUAAGUUUACAAUUACAUACCAAAUAAUAUUUUUUGGGUCUAAUUUUUGUUAUUUUUCUUUCAUUUAUAAAUGGAUUAACGGAGGGACGUGUUGGAGCCAAACAGAGCGAAAUUGAAAAGAUAUGAUAUGCAAUUGGACUAAUUCCGAAUGUGAAGGACUAAAUUGGAAGGGGAAAAUCGUUUAAAAACUAAGUUGGAGACUUGACAGAAGUUCAUGGGGCUUCAUGCAAGUUCUGUAAAAAAAAAAAUUGGUGUUAUUUCUCCCAAAAUUGGGGAGGCCGUCUGCCUCCAUAAAGCAACGUGAAUUUUUUGUGCUAGUACGAGGUUUCCCAAUUUUGGGGAGGCCUCUGCAACCUGAUCUUUAGGUUCAAAUUGGAUUGCACUUAUUCAAAAAGAAUGGAUUUUGUGUGAAUUGUAACCCACGAAUUUCUAUGGGAUUACAAUACUAUAAAUAGGAAAUGUCGUUCAUUAUUAUCGGGCUGACAAUUAACAUGAUAUUUUUAGAAAUUCUUGGAGAUCAAAUUGAGAGGAAAAAAAAUAUACAAGGUAAUGAACUAGGAUUUGGAGAAUUUAUUAAAGAAGAAUUAAACUUGGUUAAAGUUGCGUUCACGUUCUUGUCUUUUUCUUCGUUAAACUCGUGGUGUAUUUCAAUUGUAAUUUGUGUUUUUCUUAUACAAUUGUUUUUGGCCAAAUUUAUUUGUGAGAUGAAAGAUAUAGCUUUAAUUAAUUCGAAACAUUGAUUUUGGAUAAUUAAAGAUUUACAUGUUUUAUUGGUACUGUAUAUUACUUUUUGUUAUUAUUAUGAGCACAAAUACUUACUUGAUCAAUAAUUAAUUGCUGUAUUUGUUUAGACUGAAUACGAAAAAUCAAUAAUUUAGCAAGAAUAAAGAGAUAAACUUCUAGAAUUAUUGCUGUCAGUAGUACAUAGCAAACAUCUCAUCGUAUUUAUCAAGCCAAAGAACAACAUAGCUAGAUGUUAAAAAAAAGCUACAUUAUUUAAUAGCAAAUUCUCAGUUUUAGUUCUCUAAUUAGUGUUUGUGAAUCUGAAAGCAUGGAAUAUGGAAUAAAUCCCCAUCAAUUAGGCAAAUAACAUAAAGGGUGUUUAACAAAAUUCUUUCCAUAAUCUACUUCCAUAAAUAAAUAAAUAAAUAAAAUGAAAAUAAAAUUCUCACCCACUGGAGCUAGCUGUUGUAGAGCUACUAAUCAUCCCCAUAUCAGUCACAGAAAUUGGUGGAGGAGAAGGAGAGAGAUAAAAUUCUGUUGCCCGGUCUCAAUUCUAUUUGAAAAUUAUUUGCAUCAUGAAGGUGAAACAUGAGAGGUGACUUGGAAAUUUUCCAUCAAGACUAAUAGAAAAGUAUUAUCAAAGGUGCCGAGUUGGAGCAGUCCAAUCUAAUUUUUGUCGUCUAUUUAACUAAUUAUUGACACAUCAUUUUUAAAUUAAUAUGUUAUCUCAAAUUCGCCAUCAUUAACUUCAACAUUAACCCACCAAAUUGAUGACCUAUUAAUUUAAAAUAACGUAUCAAUAAAUAUUUGGGUGGACGGCAAAAAUUAGACAACAUAUCUCAAUUCAUAAUGCUAAAGUUUCUCACCCAACAAGUUAAUUGAGUUCAUGGCCUGUGAAUCAGAAACAACUUCAAGGCCCUACUCUUCUUGUCAUUUUCCUUUUUUCUCAAAUUGUAGUGGAAAAAAAUAAAUUACAUCGAUAGCUUUGAAUGUACUAACAUUAGUAUUACAAACUUAAAUAGAUUUGAAAUUAAGUUCACAUUUGGCCUCCAUUUUAUAAACUCAAUUGUUCUCAAAUUUAUUUUUAACCAUACAUUUUAUAGAAUUCACAACUUUUUAACCACAUAUUUUAUUAACUUUUAUCAAAAUCUAUUAAAAAUUUAAUUUUUAGCUAAACCAUCACAACAACAAAAGCAGUCUUUUACGGCAUUCAUUUACGGCGUACAUCUACGGCAUGCAGUAAAAAUAGACUAAUUACAGCGUGCGCUAUGUGUAUGCCGUAAAAGAUUAAUUAAUUAAAAUAUUUACGACGUGCAUCCUUUGCACGCCAUAUUAAACGAGCAUUUACGGCAUGCACACGUGCAUGUAAAAAAUUUGAAAUUUACUAAGCCCGUCAAUCUUUUACACAAACGGCCCUAAUAGUUGAACUUAAAUCCCUCAAAAUUGAAAAGAGCACGAACGGCAGAGUUCAUCCCGCCACUAUAGAGAAAUCACUCAAAAUAUGCCGGUUACUGUGAAUCACCGACGCCAUUGGAAGUAUUUGAUUUCAGUUUAUUUCUUUUUCUCACCACUACUUGGAUGUCUCCACUUCCUGUAAGUUUCAAUGAACCCUAACCUUCUAAUCCUAGCUUCAGACUGUUUGAUAUUAUAUUUGUUUGUUAAAACUUGACGAGGGUUUUUAUUUGAAAAUGAGUUGUUGGGGCCUUGGUAUUAUGUUUAUGUGAUUUGUGGGAUUGAAUGUAGCUGGGAAUUGUUUUGGGCGUGCAUUGGGCAGUGGCCAACAAGUUGCUAUUUCACAACAUUUAGGGCCAGAACACGAUUUCAUUAUCGAUUUGGAAUGAUUAGAAUCUAUAGUACGCUUUAGUCACCAAACUUGUAAUCUGUCUACGUGCCUUUAAAUUAUUCUCCCAAUUAUAAUUUUCUCUAAACUAUGCACAAAUGGGAACAUAUAUGUACAUGGUGAAAACAAUUCAAUUACUCUGAUUAAAGAUCCUAUUUUACUCUGAGAUGUGUGUACAUGGUGACCCUAUUUACUGCAUAGAUGCUGAAAAAUCCAGUCCACUUUCUCCCGCAAACAAUUUUGCAUCAAGAAACAGAUUCGUAGGCCCAAAAUGUAUCGAGGUCAAGACUGAAGAGAGAAAAAUCUCAGACUUCUAAAUUCGCUAUGUGCCAAUCGACAAACCGAGCUUGAAUUUCCUUGAACAGUAGCAGGAUGGUGGGCAAACGCCACCAUCUCUCAUACUCCUUGCCAUUACAAAAAAUUGAACUCUCAAUAAUCUAUCACAAAACCUAUAGCGCCUGAGCCUCAAUUCCCAAUAUCCCUUGGGAAUGUUAGGAAGUUUAAGUCAACAAAAUUUAGUAAUCUUAUCUUUGUGAGACUAGAUAGGCUUUUCUUCUACUCUGGUGGCUUUCCUUGUGUAUUAUCAUUCUUAUCUCUGUUCUCUAUAUUUUGAAGUGUAUUUUUCAUUUCAAUCUGGUGAAAGCAGAGUUCCUGCACCACCAGUUCAUUCUGUGCAUGGUAUAGUAACUAUUGGACUGUUAGAAUGUACUUUGGAAAGUCUCGAGUAUGACUUGUAUAACUUGUUUUAAACGCUUGGAGAUAAAAUGCCUUUUACUAAAGGAGGGACUAUUCUCAUUCAUAAAAUGGGAAUAUGAGAUGAUCAUAAAUUAUAGAUAAUUGUAGAGAUUGGUGAAUUCAUUAAUUUAUGCUCAUGUUAGAUUUUUUUAGCAUAUAAAUUUUUGCAGAAGUUUUGCAUGUUAUGUUGGAGUUAUUUCAUUGAUGUUUAUGCUUCAUAGUUUUUGCAAUUUCAAAGGUGUUUAUAAGAAAUUGUUCUGGAAAGUACGUGCUUCGUUUUCAAUUUCAGUUGCUUCUUUACGGUAAUGUAUUCAUUGACCUUUUCUAGUAGUGGCAUACAAUGGAAUGAACUAUGGACCAAAUGGAGUUGGAGGGAGUAUCAGAUCAAUCGGGUUCAGAACAAGGUCUACUAUGAUCUUCACACAUUUUGACUAAACUUUUUUCUAGUCGUGUUGCAGCCAAAAUGUUGGUUUGGAAUUUUUAUGCUUAAAUAAAUGCCUUGUUGGUAUAUAUGGUCUUUGAACUUAAUUACAAAUAUUCUUGUCAUUUACUAAGAGGUAGUUAAAAUGUGGCUCUAAACACGUCUCUUUUCACCACUGCUCCAACUUUCCUAUAACAAGGUUUUGAGACUAGCCGUUUUGGUUCUCAUUCCAUCUUUAAGUCGUAGUCGUUAAUAUAAUUUUAUAAAUUGCUAGCUAUCAUUCUUAUAAAUUUUAUGGUCUCGUUAUUUUCACAAAUGGACCUUUUGUUUAUGAUAGUGACUAAAGAAUAUUUAUUCCCAUUGCCACUAUUUAUCUAGUCUAGUUUCUCUAUAAAUUGAUCUAUGAUGUCUUGUGGCUAACCUUCGGUUAUGGAUUUGAGUCACAUUGUCAUGGUUUUUAUUUAUUUUUUAGUUACUAUUAGUUAAACAACGUAGAUGCAUAUUCUUCCAUUACUUGAAAUUGGAUUGGGUCAUGAAGUCCAAGAAGCUGCACAAGUAGUAGAGUCAAAAGCACAAGUAGCCAUGACUUGGGUAUGUCUCUUCUAGCAGUUUUUUUAUCUUAUUUUACUUGUUUUGUUGUUUACUCUUAAAUUUUGGACAAGAAUCAUAAUAAAGAGGACCUUACUCGUAAAUUUCAAUGGCCAUAUACACCAAGCUAAGUGAAAUGAAAUUGAUGUUUGUCACUUGGUAUUUAUUUUAUAAAGGUAUACUAUGAUCAAUUACUUUUUUCUUUAUUUUUGGUUCUAGGACUACUCAGUCUCACAGACUAAAAUAAAGCAUAUGGCAUGUAGCAAUUCGGUAUCCACUGACCAUGUUACAAGCUACAAAUCUUUUCCAAAUGCUUGCUUGCCAACAGAAGAUCACCAUGAUUGUGGGAUGUCUUCAAUAUGGGUUGAAUAUUUUGUACUAUUUUAAUAAGUUAUUUUUAGAGUAGUAAUCGAUACUUUUGGUAUAUUGCUAUCAACUUUUUGACUAGGCUAAUGAUGUUCUUAGUAAUCAUUUAGAUUAACUCUACAUUUUGGAAUAUUGUAUUUGAUUGCACUUAAUAUUUUUAUUCAUUCAAAUUAUGGAAAACAUGAUUAUAUUAUAUGUGUUGGUAUAUAUAGUUCUUUUAAUUAUUAAUUAUUAUAAGCUUGUUGGACCUGGUAAUUAAAUAAAUAAAUAUUUUGAAAAAAUGAAAUUCACAUUUACGGCUUGUAAGUGCACGCCAUAAAAGAAGUGUAUUUUCAGUGUGCAAAUGCACGCCAUAAAAGAGCUGAGUAUUUACGCCGUGCAAGUGCAAACCGUGAAAAAUACAUUAAUGGCAUGCUUUCAUGCUAGUAUUUACAGAAUGGUUUUAUACGACAUGCGCCUAUACGUCGUAAAAAGUAAACUUUGUUGUAGUGCAAACAUAUGUAGUGUCACAAUAAGAAUUGAACUACUUGAAAGUGGAAUGUCCAUUGACUUUAUUUCUUUAAGAUGUAUUGUUUUAAACAAUUGUGUCAGUAGUCUCCCAAUCUCAAUUGAACAAAUUCAAUCUGAACCUUCACAUAUAAGGGAGAAGAAAUUCCAAAUGAUAACGAACCCAUUAGGGAUAAACAAAUAUGGACGAAAGUAUAAUCUCUUGAGACAUUGUUGGUUGAAGAGAUGUGGUAGUGAGUAAGAUUGCUAUUGGGAAUAACCUCGCGCAUCUGUUUACCAAAGUUUUGUUAACAAAGGUUAUCAAGGGAUAUCGUAAGGCAUGUGGUUGCAAGACAUGACAUGACACAUCAUAUACUCUAGAAAAAGUAAGAGGUUUGUUGAAUUGUGUGUGACACAGUAUAGUUUUACUUAUGUAAAAUAGCAUUUUGAUACUAUAUAAAUUGUGAUUAUUAUAUUUUAUUUUAUUGCAUUUAUUUAAUGUUGAACUUGCGAAUUAAAAUUUCUAUGGUCACUUGUGAUAAUGUAAGUUUAAAAAGCACGAUAUGACACUACUUAUAUUUUGAUCAUAAAUUAUAUUGUUCCUAACCAAUAUAUGUGGGUUGGCACAUUGUAAAAAAGAUUGCAGUGUUGAUAAUUCCUAUAAGAGUUUACAAUUUGUCCAUAUUGCAGAAGCAAUUUAAUGGUGAUACUAGUACAUUUUGAAUAUAUUGAAUGACCUCAUGUCAAGUUUAAUUCUAUAGGAGGACCAUAUGAAAAAAAUAAAUUCAACUUGAUCUCCAGAUAUUUCAUGUAAAUCUAUAGAAAAUGUUGUGUAUAUUUUCGUAAGUUUAAUAUUCUUUAAUUUAAAAUUUGUUGAUUAAUAUUUGGUGAGUUGAAAAUUCAAGAAUGAGCGAAUUAGAGAACAUGAAUUCAUGUUAAAAAUUGUCGUCUUGAAAAACGAGUCGAGUGACAACUUAAAUAUUUUGUAUUGAACAAACAUAAAUCUAAGCUUAGUUUUUAGCGCGACUAAAUUGAGACAUCUAUGAAACUAUUGAAAAGAUGGUAUUUAAGUUGGUGUGGAUAAUUGUGUCAAAACGAUCAUUUGUGCUAAUACUUAAUUGUCGAAUAUCAGACGACGAUAAACAAAUAUACGGAAGGUUUGAGGAAAGUAUUAUAAAUAUAUUAGUUUAUGUGAUCUUAUAUAUUCAGAGAGCGCAAGUUUUACAUUUAGUGGGAAAACAAAGACUAAUAAUUAAGUUUGUGGUCUAGAAUUGAUUUUAGAUUUUAAUUAAAAAAAAAAUGUGCCUACAUGUCGUAUUGACUUUAGAUAGUACCAUAAAAGGCUUGAGGUGUUUAAUCAUUAAGUUUUUGGUAUCAAAAAUUGGAAGUUUGUAUUCAAAAAAAUUGGAAAUUCAUGACUCGAAUCAGGAUAAAGAUUUGUUUAACGAAUUUGAUUAAAUUCUUCAUCUAAAUUUUUUGAUUAUAAAAUACACGUAAAUAUAUAGUAAUAGUCCUAUAUACUUCAAUGAAAACAAAGAGUAAUCGGAUAAGUGUUGUUCCGUAACAUUAACAACUUACAAAUUGCUAGAGCACAAACAACACAAAACAACUUCUGUGCUUCGACAUUAGAAGCCUCCAGACACCAAUACCAAGAAGUUUGAAUGGGGUUGUAGCUUAACUUCAUGAAUAUUAGAGAGAGAGUGAUAACUCAAAAGUUGAAGGAUUUACUGCUUCUCUUGGCUGUAUAAAGAAGUUGGGUUUAGGAGGCAUUUGCAGAGAUUCCAUGUUCCCUUCUAACAUUUCUACAACCCUGUUCAUUGAUGGUCUAGCUCUAGGAUCAGUUUGUAUGCACCAUAAGCCAACUAUUAUCAUUUUCCUUCUCAAAUGCUCAUUUGCAUUCACAAUGUUGUUCAAAUCAAGUUUAGCAUUCUGUUCAAGAUUCUUAUAUAUCCAAUCAGGAAAAUAAUUUUCACUUGAAUGAUCAACUCUGACUUCGAUAUUUUUCGUCUCUCCAACCAUUUCCAAAAUCAUCAUACCAUAGCUAUAGACAUCUGACUUGUGAGAAACGUCUCCAAAGUUUCUACAAACUAUUUCUGGAGCUAUAUACCCGAUUGUACCUCUAGCCCCUAGUAUUGAAACUAUACUGGACAUGUUGGGGCAAAGUUUCGCCAAGCCAAAAUCCGAUAUUUUAGGUUUGAAGUCUUUGUCGAGGAGAAUGUUGUGAGGCUUUAUGUCGAAGUGCAAAAUCCGUGUAUUACAUCCUUGGUGCAAGUAUUCUAUUCCUUCAGCAAUGCCAACUACAAUUUGAAACAAAAUUUCCCAUCCUAACUGACGUUCUGCUAUAGAGCUAUUGUGGCAUAUGAAUUUCUCAAGAGAUCCAUUGGGCAUGAACUCAUAAAUGAGAGCUCUUUUGGAACCCUCAAAGCAAAAUCCCAGGAGAGUGACAAUGUUAAUGUGGGAAGUUCUACUAAUGCUUGCAACCUCAUUGAUAAAAUCUUCUCCAUUGCCCUUUGAUUCUUUCAAAAUCUUUACUGCUACAAGAUGGCCAUUGGGCAACUUUCCUCUAUACACACUAGCAAAGCCCCCUUCCCCUAGCUUGUCACCGAAUGAGUUAGUCAUUUUCUUCAGAUCAAAGUAGUUGUAUCUUCGUGGUGCAAGAUUCUCAUUAUUCUUUAGGAAGAGUUCAAUGUCCUUAUGAUUUUGCGAUUUUCCCUUUAAAUUCAACACACACUUGCUCUUGUUGAAAAUGAACAAGAUUAUGGAGAAGAGGACUACCGCAGCAGCUAAACCGCCUAUUUUGAAAAAUGAUAUCUUUAUUUAUAAAGCAAAGUGCAAAACAAAUGGUACUGAAAUUUGGAAGAGUUACCUGCGAUGAAAAUCAAUUUCAACUUACUUCUUCCUGCAGUUGAAGUCAAAAUACAUGUUAGAUUAAGAACACCUUAUAAAAAUAAAAUGGUUUCUUUGUAUAAUCUCUUCUGCAUGCAAAUUUUUACGGGGCAUGUCUCAUGAACAUGUGAUUUCACACAGUUGUGAAAUAAAUUUAUCUGGAGUCAAGAUUUUCUAUCAAAUUGCCUGGUAUACUAAAUGAAAAUCACUACUAUUUAAUUCAACACACUUUGUAGUCAAGAAAUGAUUUAAGUUUCUGAUUAGAAUUGAGAUCACUUAACUACUAUAGAUUACGCUGCUAAAAGACAAACUUUAAAAUAACUCGACUUAGCAGUUUAUAUUUAUAUAUAGUGAUUUUAAUGGAACACGCUACAAUAAAACCACUAUAAAGUAGCACUCUCGAGACUAUGAAAAAUUAUUAUUUUAUAAGAGUUAUUUAUUUUUUGAUAAAUGCAUAUCUUGAAGUUUGAAAAUAUUUUAUAGUUUUACUACUUGUAAUAUUGUAUGAUUUUUAAAUUAAAAUAAUAAUGGAUAUUGUCAAGAGUUUAUAUGUAUUUACACAAGGGAAAAACUUGUGCAAAUUGUCUUUAGCAUUGCACGACUCGGUCAAAUGAAGAUAUUCUUCAGAACUACAAAUUGGUGAAUGGAUUACUUGAAAUCAUUCCUGGUAUGUGCUAUAGAAUGUGAUGGAUAAAUACAUGAAGAAAAACUGAGACAUAAACACAAAAACUGGCAUCAUCUCUAAAGAGCUCUCUUCAGAAAAACGUAUGUCAGCAUGAGAAAAUAUGUCAGUUCAGACUCAGUCAAAGACAGAAAAACGAAAGUCUCAACAAAGCAUGGAGCAGAGCACACUACACAUAUAAACAAGAGGACAUAAAACAACUGUUUAUUGGCAUAUAGCAAUCGCUUGAUAAAUUCAUUCUAUCUUGCAGUUGUAAAUGAUUAUCUUGCAAUUGUCCGUGUUGAAGGUCGAUGGUACCUUUUUCACAUAUAAAUUCAUUCUUCCUGGUAUUUGUACACUGGCCUCCUUUGUUGUGACACUCUGCGCAGUCAACAGACAGAAACCAUUGUACAUCAUAUUCAGCGCUAAGCUGAUCGAAUAAGUCUAUUGAAUCUGAUUCAUUUUUCAAGUCGCCUGGCAAGUGAAAAACAGAACACUCAUCUGGGCAAGAAAUACUUUUAUUCUUAAUGGCGUAAUAUAUAUCGAAGUAAUGGCAACCUGUGUACUUCCUAUAAUAAUCCGUGAAAGAAAGUAUCGGAGUUUUGUGGCAUUUAAACAAAGUGAUAUUAGGUAAGAAUGACAACGAAAUAGUAGGCAAGCUUUGAAUAGAGAAAUUGUUGAACACAACGCAGCUUUUACUUUUCAAAAGACCUUCAAGAGUAGGGUUCCUAAUCCUGAACACAUGGGUAGAUAUCUUGGACAGAAUCUCCCUGGUUGAUGAAAUCCCUUCAUCUUCCAGGUAAACUAAUGGAUGUGGAGUGGCAUCGCACUGAACCCUGAACAAUCCACAUUCAUUGCGUAUAAUUGGAUAAAGGAAACUCCAAACGGCCAAGAUUUCCACACUGGAAAGAUUUUUGGCAUUUAGAAUAGACAAAGUUUAGAUUAAGCAGACAAAACAGAGAGAAAUAAACAGGAAAACUAGAAACAGGCCUAUAGAGCUUCCUGGAAAAAGCCAUGCCUAACGAGAAGGAGAAGAAUAGGAUAGAAAUCUCAGUCUCCCUCAAUUUCAUUAAAUUAUAGAGACG
rnacentral:lncRNA from 1 species